GCGCAGCAGGCGAGAAUAGUCUACAAAUGGACGAAAGUCUGAUAGUGCGACGCCGUGUGUGCGAUUAAUUCCUUCGGGAUGUAAAGCACUUUUCUAUGAGAUAAAGCUCUUUAGGUUAAUAGCUUAUUGAGACGGAUAUUAUUAUAGGAAUAAGCUCCGGCUAACUCCGUGCCAGCAGCCGCGGUAAUACGGAAGGAGCGAGCGUUGUCCGGAUUUACGUAGGCGUAAAGGGCUAGUAGGCGACUAAUUAAGUUAUAUGUUAAAUCCCAACGG
rnacentral:rRNA from 1 species